rnacentral:rRNA from 1 species
ACGAGUGGCGGACGGGUGAGUAAUGCUUGGGAAUCUAGCUUAUGGAGGGGGAUAACUACGGGAAACUGUAGCUAAUACCGCGUACCAUAGGAUGAGCACAAGUGGGAUUAGGUAGUGGGUGAGGUAAAGGCUCACCAAGCCGACGAUCUCUAGCUGGUCUGAGAGGAUGACCAGCCACAUGGGGACGGUGACACGGCCCAUAGUCCUAUGGGAGGCAUCAGUGGGGAAUAUUGCACAAUGGUAGCAAGCCUGCUGCAGCCAUGUCGCGUGUAUGAAGAAGGCCUUAGGUUUGUAAAGUACUUUCAGCGGUGAGGCGUUACCCGCAGAAGAAGCACAUGCUAACUCCGUGCCAGCAGCCGCGGUAAUUC